rnacentral:rRNA from 1 species
UACAGAGGUCCCAAGCGUUGUUCGGAUUCACUGGGCGUAAAGGGUGCGUAGGUGGCAGGGUAAGUUUGAUGUGAAAUCUCCGAGCUUAACUCGGAAACUGCAUUGAAUACUAUCCUGCUUGAGGGUUGGAGGGGAGACUGGAAUUCUCGGUGUAGCAGUGAAAUGCGUAGAUAUCGGGAGGAACACCAGUGGCGAAGGCGACUUCCUGGCCUGUUCUUGACGCUGAGGCGCGAAAGCUAGGGGAGCAAACGGG